UACAGAGGGUGCGAGCGUUAAUCGGAAUGACUGGGCGUAAAGGGCGCGUAGGUGGAUAUGUGUGUUGGAUGUGAAAGCCCCGGGCUUAACCUGGGAAUUGCAUACAAAACUGCAUGUCUAGAGUGGAGCAGAGGUGAGUGGAAUUUCCGGAGUAGCGGUGAAAUGCGUAGAUACCGGAAGGAACACCAGUGGCGAAGGCGACUCACUGGGCUCAAACUGACACUGAGGCGCGAAAGCUAGGGGAGCAAACAGG
rnacentral:rRNA from 1 species